rnacentral:rRNA from 1 species
AUGCCCGAGCCCCACCAAAUCCACCAACCCCCGCCCCCGCCCCCGCCUCCAACCGAUCCAAACCCCGUUGCCUCCACGGCUGCAAAUGCCCGGCGCAAUCCGGUACCAUUUCUUACCAUUCUCCGUGUGGAAGGAACGAGAGAAGUUCUUCCUCUGAUUUCUUGCUUGUCUUCUUCCUUUGUUGAGGCCCCGCUGCCGCUGCCGUUGCCUUUGCCGGAGAUCGCGGUGCCGCCGGUGCAGCCGAAGAUGAUCAUAAAGGGGAUGCUGGGCCGGUACGAGCGGUGGAACCCCGUGCACCCGACGGCGGGCGCCUUCUGGGGCGUCGGGCUGGGGUUCGGCUGCGGCGUCGGGUGGGGCCCGGGGUUUGGGCCCGAGGUCAUCGGCUACGUCGGCGCCGGAUGCGGCGUCGGCUUCAGCGUCGGCAUCACGCUCGCCGGUGUCGGCGUCGGGCUGCCACAGCACGGCAUCAUCAGGAACCACUACCACGGUGGAGGUUUUGCAAGCAAUGUCCCAUUCGAAUCAGCAAGGUUUUACCUCUUGACCAUGCUAAAAGGUAUGGUAUGGGAUGCCAUCAGUUAUGCGAGCAACGUCGCAGCUAUGAGGAAAGAAUCUCGACAGAAGCUUUUAAGAUGUCAGGAGAACCCUCAAGUUUCAGGAGGAGUUGAUCUGCCCAAGCUGGGGAAAGGAAUGUCCAGCAGCUUCCGAUCAACGAUGGAGUGUAUCAAGGCCUUCACAAAUCAGCAUUGGCCUCCAUAG